rnacentral:tRNA from 1 species
GCAUUGGUGGUUCUGUGGUAGAUUUCUCACCUUCCAUGUAGGAGGCCCUGGAUCAAUUCCCAGCCAGUGUA